CCUACGGGGGGCAGCAGUGGGGAAUAUUGGACAAUGGGCGAAAGCCUGAUCCAGCCAUGCCGCGUGAGUGAUGAAGGCCUUAGGGUUGUAAAGCUCUUUUGCCCGGGAAGCGGUACCGGGAGAAUAAGCCCCGGCUAACUUCGUGCCAGCAGCCGCGGUAAUACGAAGGGGGCUAGCGUUGUUCGGAUUUACUGGGCGUAAAGCGCACGUAGGCGGAUUCUUAAGUCAGAGGUGAAAUCCCAGGGCUCAACCCUGGAACUGCCUUUGAUACUGGGGAUCUCGAGUCCGGGAGAGGUGAGUGGAACUGCGAGUGUAGAGGUGAAAUUCGUAGAUAUUCGCAAGAACACCAGUGGCGAAGGCGGCUCACUGGCCCGGACUGACGCUGAGGUGCGAAAGCGUGGGGAGCAAACAGGAUUAGAUACCCUUGUAGUC
rnacentral:rRNA from 1 species